rnacentral:lncRNA from 1 species
CUAAGAUAUUAUGUAUCUUUCUAGAUAUUCUUUAUGUGUGCCUUGGCCUUAUGCCAAUAGGAUAUGUAGUUUAACUAGAUCUAUGUAUUCAUAUCCUUACCAUAUUGGUAUUGUGUAAUUCCCUAUAUAAAGGGCUCCUAUCAAUGAAUAAGAUGAUGAUUCUCUUGCUAUCUCUCUUUCUCUACACUUUAUACUUCAUCAUAAGUAUUAUUAUUUACUUACAUGGCAUGACACAUAAAACUAAGGCCACAACCCUAUAUCAGUGCCCUAUAUCUAUAUAUGCAAGUACAAAACCUACACAAGGUACGUAGAACAAAUUCAAGGCAAGGAAGUGAAAGUUGUUAGUAUUAAAUUUUACAUACAUACAUGUGUGUAUACAAUUUCCUUUUAGAGCGGUGUCCCUCUUUGAAAUUAAAAUGUGGAUUUUUUUAUUUCGCUCACUUUCAUGUCGUAUUUUCACAUCUCAACCGUACAAUGUCUAAAUAAUAUGUAAAUUAUUCUUGCAAAGUUUCAUCUAAUUUGAAGAUUAUUUAGGUAUCGAAUUAGAUUAAAUGAAUCAACUGAACAAAAUUUGUCCAAACGGAACCGUUUGUGUAAAUCACAAUUACGGAAGCUCAAAUGAUCUCCAAUUUGGAUGAAACUUUGCAUGAAUGAUCUACACACUAUGUUCUAGACACUGAACGGUGGAGAUGUGAAAUUGUGAUAUAAAAGUGAGCGAAAUGAGGAGCACCAUACUAUAAUUUCAAAACGGUGUCCCGCUUUGAACAAGAACUGUAUGUAUAUAUGUGUGUGUGUAUAUAUAUAUACACACACACCUAAUUAUAGUUUUAUACCCAA